UACUUCUUCGGACAAUAUACAAGGUGCUGCAUGGUUGUCGUCAGCUCGUGCCGUGAGGUGUCGGGUUAAGUCCCAUAACGAGCGCAACCCCUAUCAUUAGUUGCCAUCAGGUAAUGCUGGGGACUCUAAGGAUACUGCCCCGGUUAACGGGGAGGAAGGUGGGGAUGACGUCAAGUCAGUAUGUCCCUUACGUCCAGGGCUACACACGUGUUACAAUGGCCGGUACAAUGAGUUGCGACCCUGCAAAGGUAAGCCAAUCUCAAAAAACCGGUCUCAGUUCGGAUUGCAGUCUGCAACUCGACUGCAUGAAGUUGGAAUCGCUAGUAAUCGUAGAUCAGCACGCUACGGUGAAUACGUUCCCGGGCCUU
rnacentral:rRNA from 1 species